rnacentral:rRNA from 1 species
UACGAAGGGGGCUAGCGUUGUUCGGAAUUACUGGGCGUAAAGCGCGCGUAGGCGGCGCAUCAAGUCAGUGGUGAAAGCCCGGAGCUCAACUCCGGAACUGCCUUUGAAACUGAUGUGCUAGAGUACGGGAGAGGUGAGUGGAAUUCCGAGUGUAGAGGUGAAAUUCGUAGAUAUUCGGAAGAACACCAGUGGCGAAGGCGGCUCACUGGCCCGUUACUGACGCUCAGGCGCGACAGCGUGGGGAGCAAACAGG